AGUUUGAUCCUGGCUCAGGAUGAACGCUAGCGGGAGGCCUAAUACAUGCAAGUCGAGCGGUAACUUUCUUCGGGAAGCUAGAGCGGCGCACGGGUGAGUAACGCGUACAUGACCUACCUUUAAGACUGUGAUAGCCCUGGGAAACUGGGAUUAAUAACGGAUGUGAUAAUAGGUAUAAGGAUUUAUUAUUAAAGAUGAGUCGCUUAGAGAUGGGUGUGCGUCUGAUUAGCUAGUUGGUAGGGUAACGGCCUACCAAGGCUACGAUCAGUAGGGGGCGUGAGAGCGUGACCCCCCACACGGGUACUGAGACACGGACCCGACUCCUACGGGAGGCAGCAGUAAGGAAUAUUGGUCAAUGGACGAAAGUCUGAACCAGCCAUCCCGCGUGCAGGAUGACUGCCCUAUGGGUUGUAAACUGCUUUUAGUAGAGAAGAAACGCAGUCAUUUAUGAUUGCCUGACGGUACCUACAGAAUAAGCACCGGCUAACUCCGUGCCAGCAGCCGCGGUAAUACGGAGGGUGCGAGCGUUAUCCGGAAUCACUGGGUUUAAAGGGUGCGUAGGCGGGGAAUUAAGUCAGUGGUGAAAUCUUGUCGCUUAACGAUAAAAUUGCCAUUGAUACUGAUUUUCUUGAAUUGGGUUGAGGUUAGCGGAAUGUGACAUGUAGCGGUGAAAUGCAU
rnacentral:rRNA from 1 species